AUUGAACGCUGGCGGCAGGCUUAACACAUGCAAGUCGAACGAGUGGCGGACGGGUGAGUAAUGCUUGGGAAUCUAGCUUAUGGAGGGGGAUAACGACGGGAAACUGUAGCUAAUACCGCGUACCAUAGGAUGAGCCCAAGUGGGAUUAGGUAGUUGGUGGGGUAAAGGCGCACCAAGCCGACGAUCUCUAGCUGGUCUGAGAGGAUGACCAGACACACGUGUACUGAGACACGGCCCAGACUCCUACGGGAGGCAGCAGUGGGGAAUAUUGCGCAAUGGGGGCAACCUGACGCAGCCAUGCCGCGUGAAUGAAGAAGGCCUUCGGGUUGUAAAGUUCUUUCGGUAGCGAGGCGUUAACCACAGAAGAAGCACCGGCUAACUCCGUGCCAGCAGCCGCGGUAAUAC
rnacentral:rRNA from 1 species